GAGCUCAGCUCUUGAGACAGAAGUCUUGCUCAAUGCUCCUGGCUGAAUAAACCAUUUCCUUCUUUAACUCAGUGUCUGAGGAGUUUUGUCUGCGGCUCGUCCUGCUACAUUUCUUGGUUCCCUGACCGGGAAGCGAGGUGAUUGGCAGAUGGUCGAGGCAGCUCCUUAGGCGGCUAAAGCCUGCCCUGUGGAACAUCCCUGCAGGGGACUCUGACCAGCCUGAGCGACGUGGAUCCUGAGAGCGCUUCUGGGUAGGCAUUUGCCCCAGUGGGAUGCCUCACCAGAGCAGUGUGUGGAAGGCCCCCAUGGAGUCUCAACACGGUGGCUGAACACCGGGAAGGAACUGGUAUUUGGAGUCCGGACAUCUGAAACUUGGUCAGUGAGAGAGCAUAUGCCCUGGUAGAUUCCUGAGAAAAGGAACAGGAGGAUGAGAGGUUCAAUGUUUUACACAUUGCUGGUCUGAUAGCUCAGCUUCAUUCACAGAGAAAGACACUGAAGGAAUUAAAUCAGCUUGUCCAGCAGCAAGCUUCAGAGCCAAAUAUAAGCACACCUCAUAAUUCAGAGACCUCGUGAUGGGUCCUCAGAAGACACACCCAGCAGCUGCCAAAUGAACAGCAGAUGACGGAAAGGGGCCCUUGGCCUGAUCUCUCAUGGGAGACAGUGACCUUUCCUGAGUUGAAGAUGGUGAAAUGCCAGAAGGAGCUGAUGAGGCUGUCCCACACACUGACACUGCUAUGAUAUCAUGAUUGAAUUUCACUUUUUUCUCCCACCAUAAUGUAAUUUCUGGGCAGUGAUUGGGGUGUUGAUUCAUAAACACCCCUUACUGUUCUGCAUUGGAUUAAUCAUGAUGUACUGUCUUUUUCUCACUAUUUACAAAGUACAGCACCAUGAGAAUCCCUGAAUUUUAGAAUAAGUUUCUCUCCACUGGAAUAUAACACAUAUUUUGGGUUCUUUGCCUGGACUGGUCAUUUCUUUCUUUUACUAAUUGUUGUGAAAGAAUGACAGAGAUGUACAACAUGGUUUUUGAAUGGAUGCUGAGUUUAACUCUCCCGCUUACCAGAGAUAAAGUUGGCCAUACACACACGUCUCUUAUAUAAGAGUUUAUUCAUUGGCAGACACUUUGAUGAUGACAUUGAGUUAGAUGAAAUACUGGUUCCAGUUUGUAGCACUUUAUGAAUUUUCAUGUAAAGUGAUCAUUCAAUUUAAGGUUUCUGCACACAUCUUACAAAGCAUAUCUGUUUAUCAGAGCUCAUUUACUUAAGAGGAUUAAAAUGAAAUCUCUCCUCAUGAGCCAAGGGUGAAAUAGCUAGUGUCCGCUCCUAAAUAUGUGAACUAAUAUGUUUUUCCAUGGGCAAGCAAGAUUUUGUUUUUCUCCUAUUUUUCUUCUUCAGAAGGAAAUGAUUAAAAUAUUAAUAACACAAAAAUAAAUAUACAUUAUAAAACUCAAAAAAAUAAGGAUUUUUAUUGGAGUAAAGUUUUUAGUGGAGUAAAUUAUACAAUAUUAAAAAAGCAAUGGAAUUUAAAAGCAUGCCAUUUUUAAGUUUCCCUUUAUUAAUACAUUAGCAUACACAAAAUCUCAAUUAAAAAUUGCUUUAAAAGAUACUAAGUGCCAUUCAACUCUUAUUCUUUUAUCAUCUUCAAAAUAGCUGUUUAAAUCUAUAUUUAUACAAAAUAGCUGUUUAAAAAAUAUCUUUUUUUAAUUUUUUUCAUUUUUUU
rnacentral:lncRNA from 1 species